UUCAGUCGUGUGCCCUUGCAGUUUGCCGUGGAGAUCCAGCCAGCUCUAUCAACUGUCUCCCUGGCUACAUACGGCCAAAGUUCUGGACUCCGACACCUUCACAUGGGAUGUCCAUCAUGCCGCUGUGGGUCACCUGUACCAGCUCGAAGCCGAGUAAAAACAGCCCAUGCCAACAUAUUUGACUUCCAGGUCAGCGGCCCUUCCAACAUGACCAAGAAAGAUCCAGGAUGAGGGCUUUGGUGUCCGAGGCUCUUCCUGGCUGGAUCCCGCAGGAAAGAACCUGAAACAAAACAUUCCCAUCUGCUUCACUGCCGAGACAAACGUGAGCCAAUCAGAGAUGAGAUGUGUGGUUGUGGUGGUGGUCAAAGCCCUCACACUUACAGGUGAGGCGAAUGUUUCGUGCACAGCGAAUAGGAUCAGCAUCGCCGUGAGCAAGGCCUAUCUGCCUGAGGUGGACAUGAAGUGGCUGCGGCUAGCCGACUCAUCUCGCUCCCUAACUCCAACCAAACACACAUCAUGGGUACCAUGUCACUCAACACCCGUGGCACAAAGAUGGAGGAUGCAGGUGACUUCAUGGUGUUCAAAAACGAAAUAAACUCCUUCGACGCAGCCAACGCCACCAUCACGCGACGUAACCGGAUCAACAUCGGCUUCUCCUGCCGUACCCCAAACUGUCAGCAUUUCCAACUAUUACCAGAUCCACAGCUCCGACUACCUGUUCACAGAGUCCAACUUUGGUAGCUUCGGCUACACCUUUGAGGUCUUCAAGGACAGUAAGUUCAGCCAGAAGGUGGAUCCAGUGCUUACCCAGUGAAGGUGAAGCUAAUGGACAGAGUGUACAUGGGCAUUCAGGCCCAGUCCGAUCUGCCCAAGGUACAGCUGUUGUGGAGUCUUGCAAAGCCACUCCGGAUGACAGCGCCAGCAGCAGUCUCUUCUACGACCUCAUCAAAGACGGGUGUCUAAAGGACGAGACGGUCAAGGUUUACCCCGGGAACCUAACCCAAUCUACUUUGAGGUCCAGGCCUUCAAAUUCACUGGGAGCUACGACCAGGUGUACCUCACCUGUACCGUCAUCCUGUGUGAGGUGGGAAACCCCAACUCUAGGUGUGGCCAGGGCUGCCUGAACAAAGCCUCGCGGAGGCGCAGGCGAGAUCUCCCCAACGGAGAGACAGACAGGCACUACAUAACCCAGGGUCCUUUCCGUGUGGUCAGAGAGCCCAGACCAGUGCAGACCAGAAGACAGGUGCAGAGGAAAAGACAGGUGCAGCUCCUGUGUAGAUGUGGAAGCUACACAUUUUCUCAGAUCGGACAUGGGAACCGUAGUCUUCGCCGGGCUGU